ACGCUAGCUACAGGCUUAACACAUGCAAGUCGAGGGCAGCGGGUUGAAAGCUUGCUUUCAACGCCGGCGACCGGCGCACGGGUGCGUAACGCGUAUCAAACCUGCCUCAUACUCGGGGAUAGCCUUGCGAAAGUAAGAUUAAUACCCGAUGUUGUUGCUUUCUCGCAUGGGAGAGUAACCAAAGAUUUAUCGGUAUGAGAUGGUGAUGCGUCCGAUUAGGUAGUAGGCGGGGUAACGGCCCACCUAGCCUUCGAUCGGUAGGGGUUCUGAGAGGAAGGUCCCCCACACUGGAACUGAGACACGGUCCAGACUCCUACGGGAGGCAGCAGUGAGGAAUAUUGGUCAAUGGGCGAGAGCCUGAACCAGCCAAGUAGCGUGCAGGAUGACGGCCCUCCGGGUUGUAAACUGCUUUUAGUUGGGAAUAAAAAAAGGGACUUGUCCCUUCUUGUAUGUACCUUCAGAAAAAGGACCGGCUAAUUCCGUGCCAGCAGCCGCGGUAAUACGGAAGGUCCAGGCGUUAUCCGGAUUUAUUGGGUUUAAAGGGAGCGUAGGCGGAUUGUUAAGUCAGCGGUUAAAGGGUGUGGCUCAACCAUGCAUUGCCGUUGAAACUGGCGAUCUUGAGUGCAGACAGGGAUGCCGGAAUUCGUGGUGUAGCGGUGAAAUGCUUAGAUAUCACGAAGAACUCCGAUCGCGAAGGCAGGUGUCCGGGCUGCAACUGACGCUGAGGCUCGAAAGUGUGGGUAUCAAACAGGAUUAGAUACCCUGGUAGUCCACACAGUAAACGAUGUAUACUCGCGGUUUGCGAUAGAUUGUAAGCCGCCAAGCGAAAGCAUUAAGUAUACCACCUGGGGAGUACGCCGGCAACGGUGAAACUCAAAGGAAUUGACGGGGGCCCGCACAAGCGGAGGA
rnacentral:rRNA from 1 species